rnacentral:rRNA from 1 species
UACAGAGGGGGCAAGCGUUGUUCGGAAUUACUGGGCGUAAAGGGCGCGUAGGCGGCCUUCUAAGUCAUGCGUGAAAUCCCCGGGCUCAACCCGGGAACUGCGUCUGAUACUGGAGGGCUUGAAUCCGGGAGAGGGAUGUGGAAUUCCAGGUGUAGCGGUGAAAUGCGUAGAUAUCUGGAGGAACACCGGUGGCGAAGGCGGCAUCCUGGACCGGCAUUGACGCUGAGGCGCGAAAGCCAGGGGAGCAAACGGG